rnacentral:lncRNA from 1 species
ACCUUGGACGUGGAGCUCUUUGGGACGUGGAACUCCUUGGGACUCGCAUCCCAAGGGAUGGGCGUGUAGAACGCCCAAAAGAAGAAAAAGGGAGAAGAAGAGAGGGCGUGGGAAGAGCCUUUGGAUGUGAGGGGCUACUAGUUUGGAUACUCUAGGGACCUUAGGAGAGGUCCCUUUAAAUAAGUAUGAGGAUUGAAUUCUAUUCAAUCUCAUAAUAUAAGUCC